UACGAAGGGGGCUAGCGUUGCUCGGAAUCACUGGGCGUAAAGCGCACGUAGGCGGAUUGCUAAGUCAGGGGUGAAAUUCUGGAGCUCAACUCCAGAACUGCCUUUGAUACUGGCGAUCUUGAGUCCGGGAGAGGUGAGUGGAACUGCGAGUGUAGAGGUGAAAUUCGUAGAUAUUCGCAAGAACACCAGUGGCGAAGGCGGCUCACUGGCCCGGUACUGACGCUGAGGUGCGAAAGCGUGGGGAGCAAACAGG
rnacentral:rRNA from 1 species